CUUUUUUCCACCGGAGCUUGCUCCACCGGAAAAAGANGAGUGGCGAACGGGUGAGUAACACGUGGGUAACCUGCCCAUCAGAAGGGGAUAACACUUGGAAACAGGUGCUAAUACCGUAUAACAAUCNAAACCGCAUGGUUUUGAUUUGAAAGGCGCUUUCGGGUGUCGCUGAUGGAUGGACCCGCGGUGCAUUAGCUAGUUGGUGAGGUAACGGCUCACCAAGGCCACGAUGCAUAGCCGACCUGAGAGGGUGAUCGGCCACAUUGGGACUGAGACACGGCCCAAACUCCUACGGGAGGCAGCAGUAGGGAAUCUUCGGCAAUGGACGAAAGUCUGACCGAGCAACGCCGCGUGAGUGAAGAAGGUUUUCGGAUCGUAAAACUCUGUUGUUAGAGAAGAACAAGGAUGAGAGUAACUGUUCAUCCCUUGACGGUAUCUAACCAGAAAGCCACGGCUAACUACGUGCCAGCAGCCGCGGUAAUACGUAGGUGGCAAGCGUUGUCCGGAUUUAUUGGGCGUAAAGCGAGCGCAGGCGGUUUCUUAAGUCUGAUGUGAAAGCCCCCGGCUCAACCGGGGAGGGUCAUUGGAAACUGGGAGACUUGAGUGCAGAAGAGGAGAGUGGAAUUCCAUGUGUAGCGGUGAAAUGCGUAGAUAUAUGGAGGAACACCAGUGGCGAAGGCGGCUCUCUGGUCUGUAACUGACGCUGAGGCUCGAAAGCGUGGGGAGCAAACAGGAUUAGAUACCCUGGUAGUCCACGCCGUAAACGAUGAGUGCUAAGUGUUGGAGGGUUUCCGCCCUUCAGUGCUGCAGCUAACGCAUUAAGCACUCCGCCUGGGG
rnacentral:rRNA from 1 species